UAAGGAAUAUUGCACAAUGGGGGAAACCCUGAUGCAGCAACGCCGCGUGGGUGAAGAAGGCCUUCGGGUCGUAAAACCCUUUUCUGGGGGAUGAGGAAGGACAGUACCCCAGGAAUAAGUCUCGGCUAACUACGUGCCAGCAGCCGCGGUAAAACGUAGGAGGCGAGCGUUAUCCGGAUUCACUGGGCGUAAAGGGCAAGUAGGCGGCCGGGUGCGUUGUGCGUGACAGUUCCCGGCUCAACUGGGAGAGGUCGUACAAUACGGCCCGGCUAGAGGGCAGGAGAGGGAAGUGGAACUCCUGAUGUAGCGGUGGAAUGCUCAGAGAUCAGGAAGAACACCGGUGGCGAAAGCGGCUUCCUGGCCUGCCCCUGACGCUGAGAGGCGAAAGCUAGGGGAGCGAACG
rnacentral:rRNA from 1 species